AUUGAACGCUGGCGGCAUGCCUUACCCGUGCAAGUCGAACGGUAACAGGUCUUCGGAUCCUGACGAUUGGCGAACGGGAGAGUAAUACAUCGGAACGUGCCCGACCUUGGGGAAUAAGGAGGCGAAAGCUUUGUUAAAACCGCAUACGAUCUACGGAUGAACGCGGGGGUUCUUCGGCCCUCGCGCGGACGCGGCGGCCGAUGGCAGCUUAGGUAGUUGGUGGGAUAAAAGAUUACCAACCCGACGAUCUGUAGCGGGUCUGAGAGGAUGAUCAGCCACACUGGGACUGAGACACGGCCCAGACUCCUACGGGAGGCAGCAGUGGGGAAUUUUGGACAAUGGGCGAAAGCCUGAUCCAGCCAUGCCGCGUGCAGGAUGAAGGCCUUCGGGUUGUAAACUGCUUUUGUACGGAACGAAAAGCCUCUUUCUAAUAAAGAGGGGUCAUGACGGUACCGUAAGAAUAAGCACCGGCUAACUACGUG
rnacentral:rRNA from 1 species